GUCUAUCCCUGGGCAUGUGGGAGGUGAAGGAAUCUAGUUCACAGAUGGAGGGGUGGCCUUAGAAGGGAUCGCAGUUUGCUCAUCUGUGUGAGCUGCAGGGACACAGAGCAUGUGGGUGCAGAUGCCAGAAAGUGACUUGAUGUGGUAGUGGGAGUUUGCAGAAUUCUAUUCUGAAGCUUGAUUCCCUCCAUGAAUAGAAAACCAAGAAUAAAAAUGGGAGAAGUGAUGCUUGGAGUUUGGGGAGAAAGGAGAAGAGAAUGGGAAAGUAAAUGACAUAAAGAAGGAGCCAUGGUCAUCAUGCAUCAUUAAGGACCAGUCUGUUGUUCCCAAGGAUGCAGUUAAAGGAAUGUGAGCCUAAUGAUGUGAAAUUGACUCCAGGAUGGAAGCGAUGGUGAACAUCGAAGGAGGAAUUGCUGAGUCAUGGAGCCUCAACAUCUUCAGCUUAAUCAACAUUUCCUAUUUUCUGCAAUGGAUAUAACAAUUUACACUUCCACCAUCAUAUAUAAGACUUUCCUUGGCCUUCCAUUUGUGCCAUCAUCUGGCUGUUUGAAUCCUAGCUACUCCUGUGGAUGGAUAGUGAAUUUUAUUAUCGUUCAAUGGAUAUUUCUCUGGUCACUAAUGCGGUAUGAUGUGGGUGGAACAUUUGAGUUCAAUGCACUAUAGAUGGGAAAUUCUCAUGAAUAUUUUUACCAACGCUAUUAUUUCCCUAACUUCUCAGAGGGCACAGAGAGGCCUGCUGGGGGUAGCAGAGGGCAGAGCAGAGGAAAUAUUACUGCCAAAUGAGAGGCCGGUCUUUUCAAGGAAUCACUGAAAGAAAAGAAAUGACCUACUAUUCAUUAGCAUUCUCUCAUCUCAUUUUAAUUCAUGAACUGUUAAGCAUUCGGCUUAAGUGAAACUUGAACAUUUUAUUGAUCUGUUCAGCGCUAUUCAUGAAGAUCAUUUGUACUCACACCGUCUGUUAGUGACUGAUGUUAUUAGGUGAAAAUGGAAUCUGGCUGAAAGGAGAAAAAGUAGACAUAUAUUGGGGAGAAAUUACCAUAUAAAUAGACAUUAACUAUCUAAGAGACUUCUCCACCAUAAAAUAAGUGAAGCAGGUCUUUCUGGGCGUUAUGGCUGAGAUUUCAAGUUGGGAUGCUAUUUCAACUCUAUUUUUUUUUUCUCUAUCUGCAUCAGAAUAAGAAGAACAUCCAAUUGAGAGGUUAAAAUGCUCAAGUGUACAGACUAUAGCUGCAGGAUAUCUACAUGGACAUGCUAUCCAGCUGCAAUGUGUGAAAAGGCACACAGAUAGGGUGCUCGCAUUUUUGUAUGUGGAAAUGACCAUCGCCUGUUAUCCACAUUCAAAUAAUAUAAUAAAUCUUUUAAGGAGGUUUAAUAAAAUUGUGUCAAUUCAAAAAUACUCAUUUUGAAUUUAUUUUUCUGUCCAUUUUUAGAAAUUUAUAGAGGUUUUUCCUAAAAUAAAGUUGGCACCAAGUGGCAAUGUCGUCAAGAUACACAGAAAAUAUGAGAGAAAAAUGAAAUCUUUUAAAUGUAUUCCUUUUGGAAAUUGAAAUGCACUAACUUGUUUUGCUGUUCACUUAAUAUGUAACUUGAGAUAUCAAUCAUCCUUUCAUUUUAUUCAUUUAAAAAGUAAAUUAAGGUUUUGCUCACAAUAAAA